rnacentral:rRNA from 1 species
UACGAGAGGUCCCAAACGUUAUUCGGAAUUACUGGGCUUAAAGAGUUCGUAGGCGGCGCAGAAAGUAGGGUGUGAAAGCCCUCGGCUCAACCGAGGAAUUGCGCUUUAAACUACUGUGCUUGAGGAACCUAGAGGUGAGCGGAACUGAUGGUGGAGCGGUGAAAUGCGUUGAUAUCAUCAGGAACACCGGAGGCGAAGGCGGCUCACUGGGGGGUUAUCUGACGCUGAGGAACGAAAGCGUGGGGAGCGAACAGG